rnacentral:rRNA from 1 species
UACGGAGGGUGCGAGCGUUAAUCGGAAUUACUGGGCGUAAAGCGCACGCAGGCGGUUUGUUAAGCUUGAUGUGAAAGCCCCGGGCUCAACCUGGGAUGGUCAUUUAGAACUGGCAGACUAGAGUCUUGGAGAGGGGAGUGGAAUUCCAGGUGUAGCGGUGAAAUGCGUAGAUAUCUGGAGGAACAUCAGUGGCGAAGGCGACUCCCUGGCCAAAGACUGACGCUCAUGUGCGAAAGUGUGGGUAGCGAACAGG